GCAGGGGGCAGGGUGGCACGUGCCUUCUCCCCUGGGCUCCCCGGCGACCUGCACCCUGACCUGUGCCAAUGAUCGGCCCUUUCCUGAGAAGGGUCAGGCUGUACCUGGGGCUGUGCUUCUGCUGUUUUCUUGGAGGCCACCACGGAUGGUCUGGAGGGAUCACAGGGGCUUGAGAUGAUGUAAAUUCAUUUUCUUUUAAAUAAAGAUUUUAUUUAUUUAUUCACUAGAGACACAGAGAGAGAGAGGCAGAGACACAGGCAGAGGGAGAAGCAGGCUCCAUGCAGGGAGCCCGAUGCAGGACUCGAUCCCAGGACUCCAGGAUCAUGCCCUGGGCCGAAGGUGGCGCUAAACCACUGAGCCCCCAACCCGGGGUACCCUAAAUUCAUUUUCUAAAAAGCCUCGAUUCCCUGUUUCAAAAUGAAUGGAGUCCAGGUCAAAUGAUAGGAACGCGCUGAGGAAUGGUCACGGACAGACUGCGGCAGCGGGAGCACGAUGUUGGAGAGGAGAGGUGAGCCAGGAGCAGCGGGAAACCACCAGCCCGGGGUCAUGCGCUCGGGAGAAUUAAGGACUAAGGUCUAAGAGUCACUCCACGUCUCUAGAAGGUGUCCAGGGGGAAGGAAGUCAAGGCCCAGGACUGCUCCUGUUGCUCUACCGGGACACCCCAGAACCUUCUCUGGGGUUUGUCUGUUUACUUUCAUUUACACCUGUUUGCCUGCUUUCAAUUACUCAAGUCAGCGUCGAACGUCGGCUUUGGAAGACGCCUUCCUCUCCUGGCAUUUCCCUGCGGGGCUCGUGGGCCGCCCCGAGGCUCGCCUGGUUGAAACGUUCCCACCCUGUGACCAACGAAUCCCCUGGGCGCGAAGGUGCAAAUGUGGGAUCCCAGGUCCAGCGAGUUAAAAGAUAAUAAAACACCUGCCCGGCCCCUUUGGGUAUGAUUGUCUCAGACACAUUUCUCUCAUCCUGAGCCUCUUCUUCCAUUCUGGCUUCCCUUCCCACCAGCACCGUCAGCCCUGGGGUCCAGGGGUCCUGGGGUUCCAGGGGUCCCCCUCUCCAGGGCCCGGGAUCCGCUUUCUCCUGCCUAGCGGCUUCCACGCUUGCCUCGCGCGGGUUACAUCUAG
rnacentral:lncRNA from 1 species